ACGUUUAUACUCACACUUGUAUAUAACGCAACUUCAUGAAGUCUCAAAAGAGAAAAUGCAUCAGCUAAAGGGCGAUUCUCAAUUACACUUUACAUCAUAGCUGAAUAAUUGAGUGGCCUAUCUCCAUCUCAGCAGCUUACAUAGUAGGAGGCACAAUUUGAAAUGAACAGUGGGAAUAGUUACCUAGUUCCACGUGGGAAGAAUAGAAAACAUGAGAAGAAAGAAAAUAUUUAUUGCAUUUUGAAUGUGUGUAUAAUAUUUCAGAUUUUUUCAGAGGAAUGAAUCAGAAAUCAGGGAGGUGGGCAAUUGUCUGGCAAGAUAUGGGUGAUAGCAGGGUACUCUGGAUGAGGGCACUCCAUUGAGCAUUGAUGCCUUUUGAGGCCAAUAUAAUAGCUCUUCAUUGAGAAAACAUACCCAGAACUAUCAUUGUUUUUUUUUUUCAGAAUCUCGAUUAAGCCUCACUAAAUGACCAUAGGGAAAACUGAUAAAUUUUUGCCAUGAUUUUCCGUGUAUAUUGAUCAUUCCUUUUCUGCCCUGGGAUACUUGGAUACUAAUUUGAGAAAUGCUCAAUUGGAGAAACAUUUGGAAGAAUAUUUAAAGAGAUGUGGACAUCCAGUCCAUUAACUUCAUCCUCAUAUAGAAAACCCAAGAUGGUGAACAUGGCUAGGCAUUGCAAAGGCUGCAUACAUGACAUUCUUCCUAUGUGUUUUGUCGUCACAUGGUUGUCUUAUAAGAACACCAAUCAUAUUGGAAUAAGGGCUCACUCUACUCCAAUAUAACCUCAUCUCAACAAUCCUAUUUCGAAAUAAGGUGAUAUUCUCAUAGAGAGUGGAAUGGUGGACAACGGACACUAGGAAGUUUGGAGGUAUGGAUGAUGAAAAAUUACUUAAUGGGUACAAUGUCCAUUAUUCUGAUAAUGGACAUUUUAAAAGCCUUGACUUGACCACUGCACAUGUAACAAAAUUGUACUUGUACCCUAUAAAUGUGUACAUAAAUAAAUAAAAAGAAAGCAUGCUUAAAAAAUAAAGUAAAAGCUGUAUGUACCCAGCAAAAAAAAAUUAAUCAUAAUAAUACCAUCAAGUUCCAAGAUACUGAGGAUGAAGACUUCAACAAAUCAUUCUUUGGGCAAAGAGGGACACAAUCCAACCUAUAACAUUAUAUAUCAUGUUCACAGUGCAAAAAAAUCAAAGACAAAUAAAUUUUAAUGAAGCCAGGGAUUGGCGAAGAAUUGAUUUAUUUAUAGAGAAACAGUAAUACGAAAUAGAUUUUUCUUCAGAAAUUAUACAAGCAAAAACAGAGUGGGAUAAACUGUUUUAAAUGUUCAAAAAGUACCCCCUACACCUGUGAUUGUUUACUCUGAAAAAU
rnacentral:lncRNA from 1 species